AUGCAAACCAGUGAUCCAGCCAAGAUAGUAUCAGCCCUUCAAGUUUUCAUGCAUGUGUUCCAGGAAGUGCCCCAGACAGAGCAACUGCAGAGUGAACUGAUGCAUUCAGUGAUAAUCAUGAUCCAGGAGGAUCUCAAACCAGUGCAGAAGGCCCUCCUGAACUUCAUUGAGAUGCUGGGCCAGCAUGACUACUUGGCCUUGCCCCAGGGGAACUUCAUCAUCAACUAUGUCAUCAGGCUCAGCAAGUCUGACUGCUCAGUGAGCAGGGGCCAGGCUGGGAGUGGUCAGAGAAUGGGAGCAAGAGAAGGGUGGGCUUGGGAGCAGAAGGGAAAGAAGAAAAGGACAUGGUUGGCACAGUGGGAAGGAGCUUUGGCAUCUAAAACUCUGAGUCAGUGGAGGCUUUGUACCAGAAGACUCAGCUAGCACUGGUUUCAGAGUUAAAUCUUUCCUUUUCUUGGGGAUCCCUGGGUGGCUCAGCAGUUUGGCUCCUGCCUUUGGCCCAGGGUGUGAUCCUGGAGACCCGGGAUCGAGUCUCACGUUGGGCUCCCUGUAUGGAGCCUGCUUCUCCCUCUGCCUGUGUCUCUGCCCCCCCCACCCCGUCUAUCAUAAAUAAAUAAAUAAAUAAAUCUUUAAAUAUAUAAUAA
rnacentral:lncRNA from 1 species